GGGGGAUUAGGGUUCGAUUCCGGAGAGGGAGCCUGAGAAAUAGCUACCACUUCUACGGAGGGCAGCAGGCGCGCAAAUUGCCCAAUGUCAAAAAAAAACGAUGAGGCAGCGAAAAGAAAUAGAGCCGAGAGCGCCUUUGGCGUUCUCGUUUUCAAUGGGGGAUAUUUAAACCCAUCCAAAAUCGAGUAACAAUUGGAGGACAAGUCUGGUGCCAG
rnacentral:rRNA from 1 species